GACGAACGCUGGCGGCGUGCCUAACACAUGCAAGUCGAACGGAAAGGCCCUGCUUUUGUGGGGUGCUCGAGUGGCGAACGGGUGAGUAACACGUGAGUAACCUGCCCUUGACUUUGGGAUAACUUCAGGAAACUGGGGCUAAUACCGGAUAGGAGCUCCUGCUGCAUGUUGGGGGUUGGAAAGUUUCGGCGGUUGUGGAUGGACUCGCGGCUUAUCAGCUUGUUGGUGGGGUAGUGGCUUACCAAGGCUUCGACGGGUAGCCGGCCUGAGAGGGGGACCGGCCACAUGGGUACUGCGGUACGGCCCAGACUCCUACGGGAGGCAGCAGUGGGGAGUAUUGCACAAUAGGCGGAAGCCUGAUGCAGCAACGCCGCGUGCGGGAUGACGGCCUUCGGGUUGUAAACCGCUUUCGCCUGUAACGAGGCGUGAGUGACGGUAAUGGGUAAAGAAGCACCGGCUAACUACGUG
rnacentral:rRNA from 1 species